GGUUGUGUGGUGGAAUUGGUAGACACGCUGCUCUUUCAAGGCAGAUAUUGCGGGUUCAAGCCCCGUCGCAACUG
rnacentral:tRNA from 1 species